rnacentral:tRNA from 1 species
GCCUGGGUGGCUGAGUCGGUUAAGCAUCUGACUUCGGCUCAGGUCACGAUCUCGCGGUCCGUGAGUUCGAGCCCCGCAUCAGGCU